rnacentral:sRNA from 1 species
UCUUCGCAGUGAACGCGCAAACCUGUGUA